ACCCAGUCAUCUAUAUUAUACUAAAAACAGAAUAACAAACCCUAUGAGAUAUGUCACCUAGGAUCAGAAAAUCAGCCACUAAUAUUGCAGCAAUCAUCCAUGUCAUCUCUCUAUAAUAUUGAUUUGAGCUUCGUGUUUUGUAUUGGGUUUCUAUUUUAACUUUUCUUAUUUUGUUUUGGGCUUCUUCUCCUUACGUCGACUCAUUCUCUCUUCUCUCUUUGAUGAUUCCGCCGUUCUUCUUUCACCUUUAGCCUUCCACCUCUUCCAUUACUCUUCUCUCCAAAUCCGUUUCAUCACAUACCUUCAUCGCCUCCUCCGCGACUGCUAAACCA
rnacentral:lncRNA from 1 species